rnacentral:rRNA from 1 species
AUGAACGCUAGCUACAGGCUUAACACUUGCAAGUCGAGGGGCAUCAGGAAGAAAGCUUGCUUUCUUUGCUGGCGACCGGCGCACGGGUGAGUAACACGUAUCCAACCUGCCCUUUACUCGGGGAUAGCCUUUCGAAAGAAAGAUUAAUACCCGAUAGCAUAAUGAUUCCGCAUGGUUUCAUUAUUAAAGGAUUCCGGUAAAGGAUGGGGAUGCGUUCCAUUAGGUUGUUGGUGAGGUAACGGCUCACCAAGCCUUCGAUGGAUAGGGGUUCUGAGAGGAAGGUCCCCCACAUUGGAACUGAGACACGGUCCAAACUCCUACGGGAGGCAGCAGUGAGGAAUAUUGGUCAAUGGGCGCUAGCCUGAACCAGCCAAGUAGCGUGAAGGAUGAAGGCUCUAUGGGUCGUAAACUUCUUUUAUAUAAGAAUAAAGUGCAGUAUGUAUACUGUUUUGUAUGUAUUAUAUGAAUAAGGAUCGGCUAACUCCGUGCCAGCAGCCGCGGUAAUACGGAGGAUCCGAGCGUUAUCCGGAUUUAUUGGGUUUAAAGGGAGCGUAGGUGGACUGGUAAGUCAGUUGUGAAAGUUUGCGGCUCAACCGUAAAAUUGCAGUUGAUACUGUCAGUCUUGAGUACAGUAGAGGUGGGCGGAAUUCGUGGUGUAGCGGUGAAAUGCUUAGAUAUCACGAAGAACUCCGAUUGCGAAGGCAGCUCACUGGACUGCAACUGACACUGAUGCUCGAAAGUGUGGGUAUCAAACAGGAUUAGAUACCCUGGUAGUCCACACAGUAAACGAUGAAUACUCGCUGUUUGCGAUAUACAGUAAGCGGCCAAGCGAAAGCAUUAAGUAUUCCACCUGGGGAGUACGCCGGCAACGGUGAAACUCAAAGGAAUUGACGGGGGCCCGCACAAGCGGAGGAACAUGUGGUUUAAUUCGAUGAUACGCGAGGAACCUUACCCGGGCUUAAAUUGCAGUGGAAUGAUGUGGAAACAUGUCAGUGAGCAAUCACCGCUGUGAAGGUGCUGCAUGGUUGUCGUCAGCUCGUGCCGUGAGGUGUCGGCUUAAGUGCCAUAACGAGCGCAACCCUUAUCUUUAGUUACUAACAGGUCAUGCUGAGGACUCUGGAGAGACUGCCGUCGUAAGAUGUGAGGAAGGUGGGGAUGACGUCAAAUCAGCACGGCCCUUACGUCCGGGGCUACACACGUGUUACAAUGGGGGGUACAGAAGGCAGCUAGCGGGUGACCGUAUGCUAAUCCCAAAAUCCUCUCUCAGUUCGGAUCGAAGUCUGCAACCCGACUUCGUGAAGCUGGAUUCGCUAGUAAUCGCGCAUCAGCCACGGCGCGGUGAAUACGUUCCCGGGCCUUGUACACACCGCCCGUCAAGCCAUGGGAGCCGGGGGUACCUGAAGUACGUAACCGCAAGGAUCGUCCUAGGGUAAAACUGGUGACUGGGGCU